CUGGAGGCAGAGGCGGAGAAGGGCAACCUGAAAGUGAACAUCUGGGAAUGCUGUUCUUUGCUGUCCAGUGAAUCAGCAGAAGAGGAGAUGGGCCCCAGAUGUCCUGUAGUCCACUGCAUCUUCAGCCCAGCCUCCUAUACUUCCCAGCACCCCAACUUUUGACAACUCAGCUUGAUUCACCAUCACCAACACGACUCAGGUUUCUUGAAUGUCCCAUCUUGCUGAUUUUGGU